UACGAAGGGGGCUAGCGUUGCUCGGAAUGACUGGGCGUAAAGGGCGCGUAGGCGGUUCAUACAGUCAGAUGUGAAAGCCCCGGGCUCAACCUGGGAAUGGCAGUGGAUACUGGCAAGCUAGAGUGCGGUAGAGGGGUGUGGAAUUCCCGGUGUAGCGGUGAAAUGCGCAGAUAUCAGGAGGAACACCGAUGGCGAAGGCAGCUCGCUGGGACGGUACUGACGCUGAGGCGCGAAAGCGUGGGGAGCAAACAGG
rnacentral:rRNA from 1 species